UGCCCUGGCAAUGGGCAAAAGACACUUUGUUGUUAGUGUUCUUGUAUCAGUUAGGGGCAUAGUAGGUGGCAGUCCUACUAUGUUCAUCCUAGCUUGAUGCCUGGUUUGGUGGCCAAAGCUGUCUUAUGCCUAGGACUCAUAA